GUAGGUGGCAAGCGUUGUCCGGAAUUAUUGGGCGUAAAGCGCGCGCAGGUGGUUCGUUUAAGUCUGAUGUGAAAGCCCCCGGGCUCAACCGGGGAGGGUCAUUGGAAACUGGGGAACUUGAGUGCAGGAGAGGAAAGUGGAAUUCCACGUGUAGCGGUGAAAUGCGUAGAUAUGUGGAGGAACACCAGUGGCGAAGGCGACUUUCUGGCCUGUAACUGACACUGAGGCGCGAAAGCGUGGGGAGCAAACAGGAUUAGACACCCUGGUAGUCCACGCCGUAAACGAUGAGUGCUAAGUGUUGGGGGGGUUUCCGCCCCUCAGUGCUGCAGCUAACGCAUUAAGCACUCCGCCUGGGGAGUACGGUCGCAAAGACUG
rnacentral:rRNA from 1 species